UACAGAGGGGGCGAGCGUUGUUCGGAAUUACUGGGCGUAAAGGGCGCGUAGGCGGCCUUCUAAGUCGAACGUGAAAUCCCCGGGCUCAACCCGGGAACUGCGUCCGAUACUGGCAGGCUUGAAUCCGGGAGAGGGAUGCGGAAUUCCAGGUGUAGCGGUGAAAUGCGUAGAUAUCUGGAGGAACACCGGUGGCGAAGGCGGCAUCCUGGACCGGGCAUUGACGCUGAGGCGCGAAAGCCAGGGGAGCAAAGCGGGG
rnacentral:rRNA from 1 species